CAGCCGCCGCGGGAAUACGAGGGGGGCAAGCGUUGUUCGGAAUUAUUGGGCGUAAAGGGCGCGUAGGCGGUUUGACAAGUCUGAUGUGAAAUCUCUGGGCUCAACCCAGAGUCUGCAUCGGAAACUGUCGAGCUUGAGUAUGGGAGAGGUGAGUGGAAUUUCCAGUGUAGCGGUGAAAUGCGUAGAUAUCGGAAGGAACACCUGUGGCGAAAGCGGCUCACUGGACCACUACUGACGCUGAGGCGCGAAAGCUAGGGGAGCAAACAGGAUUAGAUACCCCUGUAGUCCCUGUCUCUUAUAC
rnacentral:rRNA from 1 species